rnacentral:tRNA from 2 species
GCCCGGCUAGCUCAGUCGGUAGAGCAAUGGAGAUUUUAAAUAUCAGGGUCGUGGGUUCGAGCCCCACGUUGGGCG